rnacentral:lncRNA from 1 species
GGUCUCUGGUAUGCUGUACUCAUUUACAUAAAGUUUAAAAGGGCCACCUUAAUAAGUUGCCACAAAUAUAUAAUUGGAAGUUGUGAUCUAUAUUCCAUGAUAUCUAAAUAUAAGCCAAAAUUUAGGCUCUCUUUAAAAGUUUUUUAUAUAUAUAUUUAAAGGAAUUCUAAUGAGAUAAAGUUUGACUUGAAUUGGAAACAUUACAGGCAUAAAUUUAAAGCCCAUAUUCUUUAUAAAUACUUUACUUUCAUCCAGAUCAGUGGAAGUUAUCUCAUGACUUCAGGUCAUGGCCAACAGUGAUUUCCUGUAAAAGUGGCAUGGUUUGUAAGAUGGACUUUGCCAUGUCUUGGUGGCCUUUUUGUCAUCUUUGGCAUAUGGCUAGUUUCCUGAUUUUCCAUUUCUGUUCUGUUUUAAUAGUGUAUUUGUCCUUCCAGACUAUGAAAAAUCUUUCAAUCAAAUGACCCCAAAACCUCCACCAGGAGUGCUGUGUUGGCAGAUUUCAAGUAUGGAAAGAAAUCAGAUACACAAAUAUUAGUGUAACUUCCUCGCUGUCAAGAAUCACUUACUGGGAUAAGUUCACCAGUGACAGUGUCAAGCUCUCAGAAGACACCUUGCAAGGGUGGAAGACAAGCACAGGGGCCCUCAUGUUCCAAGGACCUCAGUAGCCCCUCUUCCACACUCCCACCCUGCGUGCCACUACUUAAUGCUGCUGUCAUUAUGAAAGUAAAAUACCUUUCCAGAUCAAAUCCAAAACCGUCUUUUACAAUUACCCUUUGUUUCACUUUGGUUUGCUUUCAGUCAUGAUGAUUAACAUAUUUUGAAGUUUCAUAUACUUAAAAGGAAGUAGAUUUUUAUAUUUACCCCAGGAGGGCAUCUGGUUUAAAAGGUUAAGAAAUGACAGUUUUGUCAUGUUUUCUCCAGGUUGCGAUACUCUCUGUGAGUGACAGUCAUCAUAACCUUCCCAUGCCUGUUUUGUGUUCUGGAGUGCACAAGUGUGAGAGCUCAGAGACAUGAUGUUUCUGAGGCCUACUGCACACAGGGAAGGCUGAACUAAUCCUGGGCACACGGGGGCUGUGACGAGUCUGGUUAUCAUCCCAUGCUGUUUCUGUUUGGGCUGUAUUGUACUAUUUCCACUGUACUGCCAGUGGAAUCUUUCUGAUGCCAUGGCCACUAGAGUGGCCAGAUUCUCGCUCCCUAGUGUGGAUGAAGAAACUGUGGUUCUGGGGUAUUCAAGAAGCCAUGUCAGGCCGGGCGUGGUGGCUCAUGCCUGUAAUCCCAGCACUUUGGGAGGCUGAGGCGGGCGGAUCACCUGAGGUCAGGAGUUCGAGACUAGCCUCGCCAACAUUGUGAAACCCCAUCUCUACUAAAAAUACAAAAAUUAGCCGAGUGUGGUGGCACGUGCUUGUACUUCCAGCUACUCUGGAGACUGAGGCAGGAGAAUCACUUGAACAGGGAGGCAGAGGUUGCAGUGAGCCAAGAUUGACCCACUGCACUCCAGCCUGGGCAACACAGCAAGACUCUGUCUCAAACAAAACAAAAUAAAACAAACAAACAAAAAAAGAGAGGAGCCAUCUCAUUCCACAUGGAAUCUGUGCCACUUCACAAUUUUUUGUGCUGCAUUUUGGCCAGCGAACUUUCCUUUAUUCUCCUCUAAAGGAUGUUAAGUUCUCACCAUACACACAUACAGAUGGUAGCUAUGUGUAGGGCUGGAGAUAUUGAUUAAUUUGAUUGUGGUAAUCAUUUCACAAUGUAUAUGUAUAUCAAACCAUCACAUUGUAUACCUUGAAUAUGUAAAAUUUUAUUUGUCAUUUAUACCUCAAUAAAACUGGGGAAAAAGAUGUUUA